rnacentral:lncRNA from 1 species
UAUGAACGUUACGCCAAAAAGUUAAACCGCUCUCCCAUGAAAUGCCUUAGAAAGCUGUUGAAAUUCAUUUGGCAAGACAGGCACGGAGGUUCCCUCGCGAGCUGAUUUGAUAAACAUUUAUACACUGCUGAGGAGAGCGCGAGUCUGGUGGGCCGGUCACUUUGUUCGAAUGUCUGACACACGACUCUGCAAGAGACUGCUUUACAGCGAGCUGAUACAAGACAAGUGCACGCAAGCUGGACAAACAAAGCACUUCAAGGAUACUCAAAGCCUUACUGAAGAGCUUUGAGAUCAAUCCCGACUCCUGGGAAAUGCUAGCACAAGACACCCUACCUGGCGAAGCUGCACGGACAGUGGUGUUACCUCCCGCGAACAUCACAGGAUGCAGGGGCACAAAAAAAAAAUGUGAACUUCGCAAGUCCAGAGCCAACAGUUCCAACAGACGACCAGUGCCCGACCUGCAGCAGAGCCUUCCAAGCAUGCAUCGGACUGACUGGCUACAGUCAGAUACGCUGUGCCCCGUCUCCUCCCAUGUAAUGUUCUUGAUCAGCGUUGACAACCACGGACAAACUAAUAAAUAAUAAUAAUAGUCGAAAUAUAUCGUACAUAACUGGACUAGAUGGUUUGAACACUAUCAUGGCUGAGUUCAAAUCUCAUUCAAAUCUAUGUUAUCUUUUAUCUGAUAACAGAAUUCUUCAUCUUUUCAGUUUCAUAUCACGUUGCUUGUCUUAUUUAUUUCUGUCGUGUGUGGUUUCUGUCUAAUUAAAACUUUUGUCCAAGUCUCCUCUCUAGAAAGACAGUCGAUAGACAACUGGCUGCGCGAUGAAAUGCUUAAACGAAAUUGGCGCUGCGGUGUGUUUGUGGCGAAAACAAGUAACUCUUGAUAGCAUAAAGGAAAAGGAAAAAUAAGCUAGAAUCCGAGGGAAAUAGCAAUGACCUAAUAAUUCAUGGGAUGCUGGCAGAACAGCGAGAACCCAAACAAUAAUGUUAUAGCAGAUUUGAACAUGAAUACCUGACUACUGUUGCUUUAUAUAAAAAAGAGCUCGUGCUCUGGUUAGAUUAUUUUCUACUCUAUGCACAAAGCCCGAAAUUUUGGGGGAGGGAGCCAGUCGAUUAGAUCGACCCCAGUACGCAACUGGUACUUAAUUUAUCGACCCCGAAAGGAUGAAAGACAAAGUCGACCUUGGCGGAAUUUGAACUCAGAACGUAUUGAGUAACCUUUCAGAUAUAAGCAAACAUUAUUAUAGAUACAAAGAUAUGUAUAUAUUUCUAUACACACACGUACGUAUAUAUAACGAUUACGUGUAGUCAUGCCAACUAGGUAGAAUUAUGUUUCGUUGAGGUCUAAGUGUAAUAAACCAAAAUAUGUCUUGCUUUCAUCAGUUGGUUUUAAAGAUUAAAUUCACUCCAGUACUGUUAAUUAUUUGGUGACCGGUGAUAAACUCACAGGAAAAAGUCACAGUAAUAAAGCCUCAAAUUUGGUUAGGAAAAAAAAUCACGAUUAAUUUAUUGGAUUGGGACCCCACCCGGACAACCCUCCCCCGGACACCCCCCUGGACACCCCCCUUGGACAACCCCCUCGGACCCCCACCCCCGGAAAACCCCUCUCCGGACAAAACCCCCGUGACAUUUUUUCCUGGAUUCGAAUUCUUUAUAUCAGUUAAUUUCUUUGAUUUCGAUUUCAAGAAUUCAUAGAGGGAGGUUUUGUCUGCUAAUUGCAUGGAUAAUCUCAGAUCAUCUAACGUUUUCAGCUCCGCGUGUUACACAUGUGACACCUCUCCGUAUGUAUAUUUAGUAUGCAGAGUACUCUCCUGGGGGUAUUUUCCACGGGGAACAGAGACUGGUUUACAGACAUAGAGAGAGGGGGUAGAGGGAGCAAGAGAGAGGGAGAAAGAGAGAAAGAAGUGGGGGAAGUAAGGAAAGAAAGUCAGACGGACAAGCAGAUGCAGAGAAAGGUAGGACAACAGACUCUUCAUAUAUGGAACUGAGACGAGAAAGAUCUUAAUGCAAGUACCUUUUGAAAUAUUCAAAUGGGCCAUGAAAACAGCAAUCACUAACACACACACACACACACACACACACACACAUACAACAUCAAGCAAAACAAAAGAAAAAAGAAAAGGAAAGAAAAGCAGCAAUUUUUUUCUGGUUUACUUGGAAGGUUUAUUUUGUUUUAAUUAGGGUGAAAGUAUGAACGAAGAACAGGAUGCAAAGUAAAGUAAAACGAAGAAAAAGAAAAACACGUCAAGCUGUUGCUUUCAUGUAAUUUCGGUUGCUCAAGGGAAGCUGUUGCUAUGGUUACUUCUAACUGAACGUAUUCUGUGAUAGCAAUUACUUAUACUCAUUAUAUAUAAAAUGAGUGUGACCUCUCACGCUUUGCUCGGUAGCAGAUGUUCCUGUUAACGUUGUUCUUGUUGAUGAUGAUGAUUAAUAACGAUGAUUAAAAAAUAAUAUAUACAUUUAUAUAUAUAUAUAUAUAUAUAUAUAUAUAAAAGUAUAUUUAUUCUUUUAUUUGUUUCAGUUAUUUGACUGCGGCCAUGCUGGAG